rnacentral:rRNA from 1 species
AUUGAACGCUGGCGGCAUGCCUUACACAUGCAAGUCGAACGGUAACAGGUCUUCGGCUGCUUACGAGUGGCGAACGGGUGAGUAAUACAUCGGAACGUGCCCGAUCGUGGGGGAUAACGAGGCGAAAGCUUUGCUAAUACCUCAUACGAUCUACGGAUGAAAGCGGGGGAUCUUCGGACCUCGCGCGGCCGGAGCGGCCGAUGGCAGAUGAUGUAGUUGGUGGGAUAAAAGCUUACCAAGCCGACGAUAUGUAGCUGGUCUGAGAGGAUGAUCAGCCACACUGGGACUGAGACACGGCCCAGACUCCUACGGGAGGCAGCAGUGGGGAAUUUUGGACAAUGGGCGAAAGCCUGAUCCAGCCAUGCCGCGUGCAGGAUGAAGGCCUUUGGGUUGUAAACUGCUUUUGUACGGAACGAAAAGCCUCUUUCUAAUAAAGAGGGGUCAUGACGGUACCGUAAGAAUAAGCACCGGCUAACUACGUG